rnacentral:rRNA from 1 species
CCUACGGGUGGCUGCAGUGGGGAAUAUUGGACAAUGGGCGAAAGCCUGAUCCAGCCAUGCCGCGUGUGUGAAGAAGGCCUUCGGGUUGUAAAGCACUUUCAGUGGGGAAGAAAGCCUUGGGGCUAAUACCCUCGAGGAAGGACAUCACCCACAGAAGAAGCACCGGCUAACUCCGUGCCAGCAGCCGCGGCAAUACGGAGGGUGCGAGCGUUAAUCGGAAUUACUGGGCGUAAAGCGCGCGUAGGCGGUCUGAUAAGCCGGUUGUGAAAGCCCCGGGCUCAACCUGGGAACGGCAUCCGGAACUGUCAGGCUAGAGUGCAGGAGAGGAAGGUAGAAUUCCCGGUGUAGCGGUGAAAUGCGUAGAGAUCGGGAGGAAUACCAGUGGCGAAGGCGGCCUUCUGGACUGACACUGACGCUGAGGUGCGAAAGCGUGGGUAGCAAACAGGAUUAGAUACCCGAGUAGUC